AACUUCAACUAAAGAGUUUAUGACGUUCGUGCCUUAGGGUGCCUCUAGAGUUCUAGACAGAGUAAUAAGAAUUCUUAUUAUUUUGUGUUCCCAGACAAUGCGAAAAUUUUAUACCUCUGUUCUUAACAUCUUAACACGUUUACACAGACUUUUACAGAGCAUUAUUAUUUAUUAGUUAUUACUAUUUAUAAUAUUAUAUCUACUAUUAAUGUCUAAGUUUGUGUAUAGUGUGUAUCAACUAUCAGGCACGUAUACAAAAAAGAAAUUUCGGGGGGCUUACAAAAUUUAGCAAUACUAAUUGUGCCGCAACAUAAUAAAACAAUCCUUGUUACUUGAAAAUAUUCCUGGGGGGGGGUUGAGCCCAUAGACUUAUGUCUAUGGUUGAGCCCCAAUUUCAACAACACCACUGUAUACGUGCCUGGUGUAUAUUUUUAUUCUUUAGUAUUGUUCUGUGGUAUUAACUAUAUUAUUGGUAUAUAAUAUCACGUUUAAAAUCUACAACCGUGGUAUAUAUUAUCAUUUAACAUUUUUGGAGCUUAGAUAAUAUAUUAUCAGUUAUCAUUAAUCACGAUUUCAGCAUAUAGAGCACGGUCUUAUAUUAUAUUCUGUGGUAUUGACACCAUAGACAUAAUAUUAUGAUGUCCUCGUUCAACUAUAAAAUAAAUAUAUAAUAUAAUAUAGCUAGUUCAAUUUAUAUCCUAUGUCCUUAUGCAUCCGCCAAUUGAUGAUAAGAUAUUAAGAUGUAUUAUCUGAACUACUUUCGUAGUUUCGUGCAAUAAAAAACAAAAAUCCAAUAUUUUAAUAGAGAAUUUUUAUUUAGAGUUUUUAAGAAGUGUUAAUGUAUUUAUAAUACAUAAUUAUAUCGAGUACGGCCGUAGAUAACUAUAUAACAAUGAAAUACAAUUAUUUAUUUUAGAUUAAUCUUUGACCGAUCGUGUAACGUUCAUCGUUUUUAUUCUUCUAAUCGCAUACAUAGUAAAAAAUAAAAUAAAUUUUUUUACAUUCGGAUAUAAUCUUAUUAAUAGAUUUAUUUGAAAAAAUAUUUUCUGUCUAAGAAUAUACCUAUUCAUUGUAAUAUCUCAGAUAAUUAACUCAGAUAGGUACACCAAUUCAUAUUUAUUUUAAUAAUAGUUGUUACAAAACCUCAACAUUUAAGAAAAUGAGGCGAUUUAUGCAUUUAAUUAAUGUAGUACCAAUGUUGCUAAAUGCCCAAAAAUCAAUUGCAACUAGUUCCAAACUGUUUCCUAAAAUAAAACAGCAAACUUUUUUUAUACCAACUCGUACUAUGUUUAUACAAACUCAAGAUACACCUAAUCCAAAUAGUGUCAAAUUUUUACCUGGUGUUCAGGUAUUAGAAAAAGGUCAUACAAUGGAUUUUCCUAGUGCUACAGCAGCAUACUGCAGUCCCUUAGCUAAAGUUUUAUUUCGCGUUGAAGGGGUAAAAAGUGUCUUUUUUGGUUCAGAUUAUAUUACUUUAACAAAAGCCGAUGAUGAUAUAGAAUGGAUGGUUCUUAAACCUGAAAUAUAUGCUACCAUUAUGGAUUUUUUUGCAAGUGGCUUGCCUAUAUUAACUGAUGUUAAACCAACUAGUGAUACUCAAAUUCAUGAAGAUGAUAAUGAAACUGUUAUGAUGAUUAAAGAACUUCUUGAUAGCAGAAUUAGACCUACUGUUCAAGAAGAUGGCGGUGAUAUUCUUUUUAUAGGAUAUGAUGCAGGAAUUGUCAAGUUAAAAUUACAAGGAUCUUGUACUAGUUGUCCAAGUUCAAUAGUAACCUUAAAAAGCGGGGUUCAGAACAUGCUUCAAUUUUAUAUACCCGAGAAUCAAGAAAUUAAAAAUAAUAAAUAAAAAAAACAGUAAGAACAAAUGAUGAUUUCAUAUAUUUCAUUCAUGAUUUCAACAGAAUUAAUAAAAUGGUAUUUGGUGAGAUCAGGUGAUAGCGGUCGAACAAGUUGAAGAUGAAAUUGAAAUACGAACAAAAGUCGAAUUUGAAAAAUUUGAAAAGAAGUUGGAAGAGAGCGAGGAAAAAGAAAAAUAAUAACCAAGUUUAAUCUUAGAUAUUUAUUAAUAAACAUUUUCAUAGUUUUCUUUAAAUGUUAUCUAUCAAGAACUACAUUAUCAAAAUAUCUAAAGUGCAGUGGUUUCCAUAAUAUAUUUUUAACUAAUCAAUAAAUGUUUUAUUAUUAUAA